rnacentral:rRNA from 1 species
CGAACGGGUGAGUAACACGUAGGUAACCUGCCUCGGAGUGGGGGAUAACCAGUGGAAACGCUGGCUAAUACCGCAUGCACCUAUGCAAUCGGGAGAUAGUAUGGGUAAAGCUACGGCGCUUCGAGAGGGGUCUGCGACCGAUUAGCUAGUUGGUGAGGUAAAGGCUCACCAAGGCUGAGAUCGGUAGCUGGUCUGAGAGGACGAUCAGCCACACGGGAACUGAGACACGGUCCCG